ACGAGGAGUUAAGAGUUCAUUCGGCUGUCCAGAUGUAUCCAAGUACCCUGUGUUAUUUGGCAAUAAAUACAUCUGGGCAACUGACUGAACUUUUCGCUUUUCAU
rnacentral:pre_miRNA from 1 species